rnacentral:lncRNA from 1 species
UAUAAUAUUCUGCUCAAGGGUUAUUGCCAGCAGCUGCAGAUUGAUAAGGCCAAGGAGUUGCUUAAAGAAAUGGCUGAUGAUGCUGAAAUCGAGCCUGAUGUGGUUUCAUAUAAUACUUUGAUUGAUGGGUGUAUACAGGUCGAUGACAGUGCAGGGGCUCUUGUCUUUUUCAAUGAGAUGCGAGCAAAAGGAAUUGCUCCCACCAAGGUCAGUUACACUACUUUGAUGAAAGCUUUUGCCUUAUCAGGCCAACCAAAGUUGGCUAACCAGGUAUUUGAUGAGAUGAUCAAAGACCCACGUGUGAAAGUUGAUUUGAUUGCUUGGAAUAUGCUAGUUGAAGGGUACUGUAAACUGGGAUUGGUUGAGGAAGCUAAGAAAAUAAUCCAGAGGAUGAAGGAGAGUGGAUUCUACCCUAAUGUGGCGACUUAUGGUAGUCUUGCAAAUGCUAUAUCAUUGGCUAGAAAACCAGGGGAAGCUCUUCUACUUUGGAAAGAAGUUAAGGAAAGGUGUAUGGCGCAAAAGGAAGGGGAUAAUUCUAAUUCUGAUUCACCCAUUCCAUCAACACUGAAACCUGAUGAAAACUUGUUAGAUUCUCUGGCUGAUAUUUGUGUGAGGGCUGCUUUUUUCCAAAAGGCUCUAGAAAUAGUGGCUUGCAUGGAAGAAUAUGGAAUACCACCAAAUAAGACUAAGUAUAAGAAGAUCUAUGUGGAGAUGCAUUC